GACGAACGCUGACGGCGUGCUUAACACAUGCAAGUCGAACGGAAAGGCCCUGCUUUUGUGGGGUGCUCGAGUGGCGAACGGGUGAGUAACACGUGAGUAACCUGCCCUUGACUUUGGGAUAACUUCAGGAAACUGGGGCUAAUACCGGAUAGGAGCUCCUGCUGCAUGGUGGGGGUUGGAAAGUUUCGGCGGUUGGGGAUGGACUCGCGGCUUAUCAGCUUGUUGGUGGGGUAGUGGCUUACCAAGGCUUUGACGGGUAGCCGGCCUGAGAGGGUGACCGGCCACAUUGGGACUGAGAUACGGCCCAGACUCCUACGGGAGGCAGCAGUGGGGAAUAUUGCACAAUGGGCGGAAGCCUGAUGCAGCAACGCCGCGUGCGGGAUGACGGCCUUCGGGUUGUAAACCGCUUUCGCCUGUGACGAAGCGUGAGUGACGGUAAUGGGUAAAGAAGCACCGGCUAACUACGUGCCAGCAGCCGCGGUGAUACGUAGGGUGCGAGCGUUGUCCGGAUUUAUUGGGCGUAAAGGGCUCGUAGGUGGUUGAUCGCGUCGGAAGUGUAAUCUUGGGGCUUAACCCUGAGCGUGCUUUCGAUACGGGUUGACUUGAGGAAGGUAGGGGAGAAUGGAAUUCCUGGUGGAGCGGUGGAAUGCGCAGAUAUCAGGAGGAACACCAGUGGCGAAGGCGGUUCUCUGGGCCUUUCCUGACGCUGAGGAGCGAAAGCGUGGGGAGCGAACAGGCUUAGAUACCCUGGUAGUCCACGCUGUAAACGGUGGGUACUAGGUGUGGGGUCCAUUCCACGGGUUCCGUGCCGUAGCUAACGCUUUAAGUACCCCGCCUGGGGAGUACGGCCGCAAGGCUAAAACUCAAAGGAAUUGACGGGGCCCCGCACAAGCGGCGGAGCAUGCGGAUUAAUUCGAUGCAACGCGUAGAACCUUACCUGGGUUUGACAUGGAUCGGGAGUGCUCAGAGAUGGGUGUGCCUCUUUUGGGGUCGGUUCACAGGUGGUGCAUGCCUGUCGUCAGCUCGUGUCGUGAGAUGUUGGGUUAAGUCCCGCAACGAGCGCAACCCUUGUUCACUGUUGCCAGCACGUUAUGGUGGGGACUCAGUGGAGACCGCCGGGGUCAACUCGGAGGAAGGUGGGGAUGACGUCAAGUCAUCAUGCCCCUUAUGUCCAGGGCUUCACGCAUGCUACAAUGGCUGGUACAGAGAGUGGCGAGCCUGUGAGGGUGAGCGAAUCUCGGAAAGCCGGUCUCAGUUCGGAUUGGGGUCUGCAACUCGACCUCAUGAAGUCGGAGUCGCUAGUAAUCGCAGAUCAGCAACGCUGCGGUGAAUACGUUCCCGGGGCU
rnacentral:rRNA from 1 species